ACGCUGGCGGCGUGCCUAAUACAUGCAAGUCGAGCGAACAGACGAGGAGCUUGCUCCUCUGACGUUAGCGGCGGACGGGUGAGUAACACGUGGAUAACCUACCUAUAAGACUGGGAUAACUUCGGGAAACCGGAGCUAAUACCGGAUAAUAUAUUGAACCGCAUGGUUCAAUAGUGAAAGACGGUUUUGCUGUCACUUAUAGAUGGAUCCGCGCCGCAUUAGCUAGUUGGUAAGGUAACGGCUUACCAAGGCAACGAUGCGUAGCCGACCUGAGAGGGUGAUCGGCCACACUGGAACUGAGACACGGUCCAGACUCCUACGGGAGGCAGCAGUAGGGAAUCUUCCGCAAUGGGCGGAAGCCUGACGGAGCAACGCCGCGUGAGUGAUGAAGGUCUUCGGAUCGUAAAACUCUGUUAUUAGGGAAGAACAAAUGUGUAAGUAACUAUGCACGUCUUGACGGUACCUAAUCAGAAAGCCACGGCUAACUACGUG
rnacentral:rRNA from 1 species